CCACUGCUGAUGAGUCUAAACCAGGACGAAACAGCUGUCCAGUGU
rnacentral:hammerhead_ribozyme from 1 species